GGGGCUGAAUGGUAUCGACAGCAAGUUGAUUCGAUUGUAAGCAUGCCGGGCUAUGAGGGUGUCGCCCGUAAAACAGAUACUUCAAAACAACAAGAGGCGAAAAUAACUUCGCGCUUGCCGCUUAAGUCACAGUAUGUGAUUUCUGCUAAUCCACGCGUUAGACGCGGGAGCAAGUCAUCUCUCCGACCCUAUGUUUGGUUGGGUAGGAAUUAGAGGUGUCAUCAAAUCCGAACUAGCGAGUAAAGUGUUGUGUUGUACUCGUGACACUGUAAUUCACAAAUAAGCCUGCGGUGGGGUGUUUGUUCCCAGCCAAUGGACGAAAACCUCAAGAACAAAAUAAGCAUGUAGAAAGCUCUUGGUUCCCUUGUUUGCACGCGGGUUCGAACCCCGCCAGCUCCACAA
rnacentral:tmRNA from 1 species